rnacentral:rRNA from 1 species
GUCAAAUCAUCAUGCCCCCUUAUGGUUCUGGGCUACACACGUGCUACCAAUGGCCGGUACAGACGGACGCAAAGCCGCGAGGCGGAGCAAAUCCGAAAAAAGCCGGUCUCAGUUCGGAUUGCAGGCUGCAAUUCGCCUGCAUGAAGUCGGAAUCGCUAGUAAUCGCAGGUCAGCAUACUGCGGUGAAUACGUUCCCGGGCCUU